AUGCAACGCAGCUGAUGCAGCCAUGCCGCGUGUGUGAUGAUUGCCUUCGGGUUGUAAGCACUUUCAUAUGUGAGGAUAGUGACAGUAUCAUCACGAUUAGGCUCCUGCUAUCUUCGUGCCAGCAGCCGCGGUAUUACACCGUGCCAGCAGCCGCGGUAAUAC
rnacentral:rRNA from 1 species